AUUGAACGCUGGCGGCAGGCCUAACACAUGCAAGUCGAACGAGUGGCGGACGGGUGAAUCAUGUCUGGAAAACUGCCCGAUGGAGGGGGAUAACUCCUGGAAACGGUAGCUAAUACCGCAUACCAUCGGAUGUGCCCAGUUGGCAUUAGCUAGUAGGUGGGGUAAUGGCUCACAUAGGCGACGAUCCCUAGCUGGUCUGAGAGGAUGACCAGCCACACUGGAACUGAGACACGGUCCAGACUCCUACGGGAGGCAGCAGUGGGGAAUAUUGCACAAUGGGCGAAAGCCUGAUGAAGCCAUGCCGCGUGUAUGAAGAAGGCCUUCGGGUUGUAAAGUACUUUCAGCGGGGAGGCGUUACCUGCAGAAGAAGCACCGGCUAACUCCGUGCCAGCCGCCGCGGUAAUAC
rnacentral:rRNA from 1 species